rnacentral:rRNA from 1 species
GUAGUCUGCAACCCGACUGCAUGAAGCUGGAAUCGCUAGUAAUCGCAGAUCAGAAUGCUGCGGUGAAUACGUUCCCGGGUCUUGUACACACCGCCCGUCACACCAUGGGAGUUGGAAAUGCCCGAAGUCGGUGACCUAACCGAAAGGGAGGAGCCGCCGAAGGCAGGUCUGAUAACUGGGGUGAAGUCGUAACAAGGUAAC